rnacentral:lncRNA from 1 species
CUCUUCUGCAACACCAACAUGCCAAACCACAUGUGGCACAAUACCAAUAAGAUACCCUUUUGGCACUGCCUAUGGUUGUGGCCACCCUGCAUUCUCUAAGCACAUGAAAUGCAACCUUGGAACUCUUGAAUACUACUCAUCAACAAGAACCACCAGCAAUAAUAAUGCCUACACAGUUUCCUCAAUAGACUAUGCAAGUAGCACAGUUAUAAUCAU